rnacentral:rRNA from 1 species
UCGAGGAUCUUUCGCAAUGGGCGCAAGCCUGACGAAGCGACGCUGCGUGAGCGAUGAAGGCCUUCGGGUCGUAAAGCUCUUUCGCGCAAGAACAAGGAAUAUAGGUGAAUAACCUAUAAACUUGAGGGUACUGCGUAAAGAAGCACCGGCUAACUCCGUGCCAGCAGCUGCGGUAAUACGGAGAGUGCAAGCAUUAAUCGGAAUUAUUGGGCGUAAAGGGCGCGUAGGCGGACCUGUAAGUCAGAUGUGAAAUUCCAAGGCUCAACCUUGGAGCUGCAUUUGAAACUACAAGACUAGAGGGAUGGCGGAGAAAACGGAAUUCCACGUGUAGCGGUGAAAUGCGUAGAUAUGUGGAAGAACACCUGUGGCGAAAGCGGUUUUCUAGCUAUUUCCUGACGCUGAGGCGCGAGAGCAAGGGGAGCAAACAGGAUUAGAUACCCGCGUAGUCC